CUCUUUUUCCGGUGUCGCGGUGCGUCCGUGUUGUCUACACCUGUGAGCAAGCAGUGAGAAAUUAAGUCGUUGACGUCUAGUCAACCGACCGAUCUGUUUGCCUGUUUUCCUUUUCGCAAGGAGUAGUUAAGACGCUCUCCUCCUGUUAGACUGUCUCAUUUCAAAAGCCUUUUAGGUUGAGAUGUGCGUUCGUUCCCUCUUUGGCUCCAGCGUCCCCGGAAUAGUUUUCUGCUCGUGGCCAUUCUACUUCUUUUGUGAAGGCAGGGAGCUUGGCUCCCAUCAAAUGCAUACGAAAAACUCACGACAACAAGCACUUCUUGUCAGCUGCCAUAUCCUCAUCUCGGGAGAAGGUGAUAAUGACAUCAGUUGCCACAGUUGCAAAUCCUGGGAAGCAGGCUUGGAAACCCAAGAGAAAGGCCCAGGCCCUAUGUAGGCUUUUGGGAGAUCAGCUUGACCCCGAG